CUUCUUUGCUGGCGACCGGCGCACGGGUGAGUAACACGUAUCCAACCUGCCCUUUACUCGGGGAUAGCCUUUCGAAAGAAAGAUUAAUACCCGAUAGCAUAAUGAUUCCGCAUGGUUUCAUUAUUAAAGGAUUCCGGUAAAGGAUGGGGAUGCGUUCCAUUAGGUUGUUGGUGAGGUAACGGCUCACCAAGCCUUCGAUGGAUAGGGGUUCUGAGAGGAAGGUCCCCCACAUUGGAACUGAGACACGGUCCAA
rnacentral:rRNA from 1 species